AGGGUUUGAUUAUGGCUCAGGAUGAACGCUAGCUACAGGCUUAACACAUGCAAGUCGAGGGGAAACGACAUUGAAAGCUUGCUUUUGAUGGGCGUCGACCGGCGCACGGGUGAGUAACGCGUAUCCAACCUGCCCAUCACUUGGGGAUAACCUUGCGAAAGUAAGACUAAUACCCGAUGAUAUCUCUAGACGACAUCUGAAAGGGAUUAAAGAUUUAUCGGUGAUGGAUGGGGAUGCGUCUGAUUAGCUUGUUGGCGGGGUAACGGCCCACCAAGGCAACGAUCAGUAGGGGUUCUGAGAGGAAGGUCCCCCACAUUGGAACUGAGACACGGUCCAA
rnacentral:rRNA from 1 species